rnacentral:rRNA from 1 species
UAACGCGUGGAUAACCUGCCUCACACAGGGGGAUAACAGUUAGAAAUGACUGCUAAUACCGCAUAAGCGCACGGCAUCGCAUGAUGCAGUGUGGAAAACUCCGGUGGUGUGAGAUGGAUCCGCGUCUGAUUAGGUAGUUGGUGGGGUAACGGCCUACCAAGCCGACGAUCAGUAGCCGACCUGAGAGGGUGACCGGCCACAUUGGGACUGAGACACGGCCCAA